CUAACUUCAAAUGGAUCCAUCAAAGCUCUACCGAAAGGAAGACUCUUUCUCAUUCUGUAGAUGGAGAAGGCAAUGAUAAGUCCAGUUUGAGAGUUUACAGUCAACCAUUGGUAAAGAUUCAUGGUACAGUAUAAAAAGAAAAGGGUGGAAUAAAUCUUUUUAAGGCUUAGAGCUCUCCUGCCGCAAUGAAAAUGAUUUUGGCUGGCUGCUGGAAUCCUUGUGCAUGGGGUACACUCCUUUUUGUGAUGAAAAUUUUCUUAUUCAGGAAAAGUUUAUCUGACUGCAAAGACAAUUUAAAGGACCGACCUUUAAAUUGUAUUGCCUUCAAGUAGUAAAUAGCAACUUUUUUCAUUAUUAGUGGCUGAAAUAUUAAGAAAUAGUGAUGCUUGUCUGCCGGUUGAAUAGUCAGUCAAGUACUGCCUUGAAGCAAUUCCCUAAUUUAUCUUCCAAAAGGAGGUGCUUGUUGAAACAAUGGGCAACUGCUAGUUUUGGUUCAUUUGGUAUGGAGUAACUGAAGGAUGAAGUUGCAUAUAUUCCUUCUUGUUUGUAGUUCUUGAAAUUACUUGUUCAUCUGUAGUUGGCAAAUCAGAAUAUUUUGAGAUUCUUAGUUGUUGAGUUAGUUCUUAUGCCGUAGUGGAUUAUGGGUGUCUGUUUGACAAUGUUAACAGCACAUUACAUUCGUUUUUGUUGUUAAUUCUCUAAUGGAACUCUGUGUUGGUACACAGUUGUUUGAGUGCUAGAGAUCAGAUGAAUUGUCUGAAGUCAUGCUAGGGAAGUUUUCCUGUGUAUGAGAAGCUAUGAACACAAGCUAUUCUCUCAAUCUGGCGCUAGGGCACUGCUUUAAUUCAGGGUUAUUGAAUGGUUGAUGGCAAAGAUGCCAUGUUAAUACUCUGCUUUUGUUCAUUUUAAUGUUACAUAAAAUUCUCUAGCCUAUCAUGAGAUGUACAUCAUUUUGAGUCUUUAAGAUGAAUUAGGUUAAUGGAUGGUGAGAAGGUCAAAAUUUUUACAUGGAAUUCUGAUGGAUAUCAUUCAAUCCGGAAGUAAAUUUCUGAGAGGAAGGCUCGCAUUAUUGGAAGUACACAUCAUGUGGAUGGCAAUCUCCUGGGGGAAAAGAGUGUCCAUGCCUUGCAAGUGGAACCGAUCAAUAGGCAAAAAUCUUCAAGUACUUAGGAAUGAAUAGGCAAGUCAAAUACCUUUAUGUUACUUGUGAACACACUGAAAUAAAUGAACAAAUAGAUAAAUACAACCAAAAAGAAAUGAACACUUCAAUGUAUUUUGUUUGCUUACUAUAGAUAAACAAGUCAACUUCAAGAACCAGCUACAAGAAUGAUAUGUAACUUCAUUAUACAUUCAUUGCAUACCCUAUGAAAUAAAUAAUAGUAGAUUGUCCAUUAUCUUCACUAAGAGUUCCACUAGGAAGAAAUAUCAAGCUACUGCUUUAAGGCACUACUUAAUUAUCAAGUAAUAUCAUUUAUUGACAUUAUUUUUUAGGUUUCUUGCAAAUUCAGUGUUUUCAGUUAUCUAGUGAAUUCUUACAAGGUGAACUGUGUGGUUUCCGAAAUUGGAAUUGAUUAGAAAUUUUGGGAAGGAUUUUGGUGCCAUAAAUGCUGUUGCAAUCCUCUGUCAGUCUUAUCCUUUCGCUUUUUAUCUGUUUCUUGUUGUUUAUGUUGUUGAACACUUCUGAAUUUGUUUCUCAAAGCUAUCAGGACUAUUUCGAUUGAAACAGUUGUCUUGAACAAAAUCUAGAGUCCUGAUACAUCGUUUAGAUAGCUUGAUCACUUAGAUAAAGUAUGAGUUUGGCUAUAUUGCUGGUGCAAAAGGGUUUCUAGCCUCUGUAACCUGAUGUUAAUCUAUUCAUGGCAAAUUUGGCGCAACCAAAAACAUUGAGAUGCUGAGUUCCAAGGAACAAAGUCAAGUUUAAUAAAUUGGAAUAAUUUAGCUAGCUACUUAUCCUCUUAUAUUCAUGUCAGGAUUAACUGCUCAUGAUUGAAAUCUGCAUUUCAUUCAUUUAAAAAUUAACUGCUCAUUUAUAUUGUUAUCUUUUUAGAAUUGAAUGUUAGUAUUUCUUUUUUACUCUGUUGGUGCCUGAUGGUAGCUACUUUUUUGCUCAAAGGACACUCUAUGAAUAGCAGGGUCAUCACACAUAUUGAGGAACCUCUUCUAUUUCUCUUAAGAAUAUGCAAUGGGGAUGCAACUCCCAAGGUUAGGUCUUAACAUGGCCUAGUUCAAGACCUCCUUCACAGUCGCACUAGAAAAAGUAGUUUUGAGUCUAGUUUGAGAGUCUACUCUCAGAUUGGUAAAUCGUGGAGGAACAUAUGAGGUUGACAGCGAUACAUCUUCUUGAGGCUUGAAGUUAUCCAAGAAGCUCCAAUUGAAAAUCAUUCUGGCUGGCUGCAGGGGUUCUCAUGCAUGAGAAAUUGUGAAUCUUCCACCCAUGGUUUGCAAGGUAAAUCACAGAGCUAUGGAUAAGCAAUACAUGGGAAAGCUACUGGUUGGAUUAAGUUGUGAUGACAACUGCUGCGGAUGAGGCUUGUCAGCCCUUUUAAAGAAACAUAGCCUGGUCGAAUUGAGAAUCUUUCAUCUGUUGAAGGGUUCUAAGUUGGAAAAUGCAAAAAGCUUGAGUAGUAAUCCUCCCACCAAUCCAUCAGAAGUCUGGAUAUAGGAUGUGUAUCAUGUGAUUUAUAGGGAGGAUGCUGUCACAAGCGGAGCUACCCCAACACUAAGUGGUGCAAGAGCUUUGAGAUUUCUGUUUUUGUUAAUAUUCUAAUUGAAUGCUGAGUUGUCACAAUUAAAUUCUAAGAAAACUCUAGUCUACACGUCUGUUAAGGACGUCUUCAAUUCUGUAAUGCUAUCUUCAAUUCUGUAUAUUCAAUCUCAUGAUGCUAUACAUUCUUUUGACAUUUUGCCGAACAGACCCUUAUUGCUAUACGUGAAAGUGAAUUGAGUUUUA